AUUUAUCAUUGACGGUCUAGCCUACUACACCUUUAAGACGUCGACACUGUGCGAAUUGGGAGUGGGCAUAUGUUCGACAGUAAAAUCACAACACUUCGCAAUGGGAAAACUGUGAAGAGGACCCUCUGCGCUGACCACUAGUUAUAGAAAAGGUUUGAAAUAAUGUGCACCAAAAGGCUAUAUUGCCAUAAUAACUAUGUCUGAAAAGUGAUACGGAAACCAUUACAUGCAUGUGGGAUGAGGUUUGCGCAAUGGACGCACAAGGGUCUUGGUCUGCAUACGUCAACAUAUUUUGUGACAGUUUCCAGGGCUGACAUGUUUACGUUUUGAUUUGCCUCUAGAAUGUUGUAUUUUAAUCGUCUCUGACAUUUGACAGAAAUGUAUUCCCGAUCAGCAGGGAAAUUGUGCUGCUAAAGUGUGAAAUAUGUUUACAGUUGAUUUUCUUGAGUUUUGUUAUCUACCACAUUCUCCAUUUUAACUCCGUCUUUAGCCGUCGACAACGAUAUUUAUCUCAUCGAAACAAAAAUAUCUGCCGGUAUCCUGCAUGUUGUACUGUUGUGGAAGCAAGGACAAGGAGAAGCAGCGCCCGGACGCUGCAGAGGUGUCGAGAAUUCUAGAGACAGAGACAGAGAAAAACCGAAAGAGCCAAGAAAGCGCACCUCAACCACUGGACAUGUACGGAAUAGCGGCAAUGCCCGAGCUUCUACCACCCUCUGGCGUACUUCAGCCCAGCUCAGUAAUCCCACUCGAGUCGGGUGAGGUGCCUGGUUUGUGGAAUGGAUUCAACAGGGGUGUGCUGAGUUUUGACUCCCCCCAGCGGAGACGAGGCCAACGGGCCCCGAAGUUAGGGCAAAUAGGACGGUCGAAGAGAGUGGUUAUAGAGGAUGACGACUUGGAUGAUGUCAUGAAACACAAUGGCCUCCCCAUAUCAAUCAAUAUCUCUCCUGUUGCCUGA
rnacentral:lncRNA from 1 species